UAAAAACUUUCUUAUGUUCCGGGUUCGAUGGCUGCUUCGUCUGUGCCAACUUCAGCCACCAGGUAUCGGAGGCUGCUUGCACCCUCUCCCAGCUGGCGGCGGGAGAGUACAACUGGCAGGCCGCAGCUGUGUCGAGCCAGAUAAAUGAUAAGAGCGACAUCACUCAGCACUCAUGACUCGGUUGGUUAGCAUACUGGGUGCAGCGCGGCAGCGUCAACCUUGUCAUCAUGUAACCAUAGGUCUAUUUACAGCACUGAACGCAACUAUUCUCAGAAAUUUAACAAAGAAAAUGUUUAAAGGUAAACUAUAUUAUUGUUAACUUACCAUAACCAAUAUCAAACUUGAAUGUAUUCACUAGACACUGGAAGUGCUCUCACUCACCAAAUAAUAUGUUCCAUGGUUAUCAUGUGCAAAUUUUGCUUUAUAAACUGAUGCAUAUUAUGUAUAUACAGAAACCUGUUAUGCUCUCUGAUAA